rnacentral:rRNA from 1 species
UACGGAAGGCAGCAGUGGGGAAUAUUGGACAAUGGGCGCAAGCCUGAUCCAGCCAUGCCGCGUGUGUGAAGAAGGCCUUUUUGGUUGUAAAGCACUUUAAGCGAGGAGGAAGGCUCUCUUAGUUAAUACCUAAGAUAGAGUGGACGUUACUCGCAGAAUAAGCACCGGCUAACUCUGUGCCAGCAGCCGCGGUAAUACAGAGGGUGCGAGCGUUAAUCGGAUUUUUACUGGGCGUAAAGCGUGCGUAGGCGGCUUUUUUAAGUCGGAUGUGAAAUCCCCGAGCUUAACUUGGGAAUUGCAUUCGAUACUGGGAAGCUAGAGUAUGGGAGAGGAUGGUAGAAUUCCAGGUGUAGCGGUGAAAUGCGUAGAGAUCUGGAGGAAUACCGAUGGGCGAAGGCAGCCAUCUGGGCCUAAUACUGACGCUGAGGUACGAAAGCAUGGGGAGGCAAACAGGGAUUAGAUACC